UCACGCCUGCCUCCUCCCUCAAUGACCACCACCACAGCCCAUGCGUGCCUCCUCCACAGUGCCUCCCAACCGCUUCUCUCUUUUCUGCCCACCGCUGUGCCUGCUUGGUCUCCCACCUCUACCUUCCCCUCCUUUAACCACUUGCAUGUCCUGCUGGCUGUGUCUUCCUACACGAGGGACUGGGAGGAGUCAGAGAGAAGGAUGUGCAGUGGCAGGACAGUGACCAACAACAUCUGUCCUGGGAGUCUCUGCUCCAAACCCUGGAGCAAAACUCAGAACUCAAGGAAAAAGAAAACUUCCUCAGUAAAAAGAAUCAAAAACCAAAUGAAAACAAAACAAAGCAAGUUGAUUUCAUGUGAAAGGGCCGGCGGCAUCAUCAGGCC